ACACAAUGGGAAAGCAAAUCAUCAAGCUCCCAAAGACAGAAAGGUCUCUUCUCCUGGUGUUUCCAGAGGGUGGGUAGAACAUCUCUGCACCUAUAUGAAAAAAAUCACCCCUGCACACACACUGACAUUUGAGUUUGACUUAACCAGGCCAGAAGACUUCUCAUGAUCACAACUGGAUUCACAGGGAACAGCCUACCACACCUGCAGGUGGCUUAGGACCUCUAGGACAGGUGUAAUGGACACUGCAGCCAGUACCAGAAAUACAUGAAUGCACAAGAAAAAGAAGAAAAUCUUCUUGACCACAACAGAAUAUCUCUGAAGGUCACAGCUUUCUGUGCACACUGCGCCUUCUCCUCCCCAUAAACCAUCUCCUGAGCAAAGUGCAAAGCCUGCCUCUGCUGUGCUACAAUGCCUGUUGUGCAGCACAGAGAGGACAUGAAACUGCACUAACUCUGUCCUGCUUUCUUCAUUUUACCCAACUGGUCAGAAAAAUGUCUUCUCCCUCUUAGAAGGAAAAGCUGAACAAAAAGAACCCUUUCAAAAGUGUAAGCUGGAAACAGCACCAUGGGAAAAAAUUAGUGAAAAAUCUCUUUCUUUGAAAAAACCUUUCAAAGUGAAGAGCAUUUUCCAUUUGGAAGGUUUUGGUGUGCUUCUACCCCUUUCUUCUGCUUCUCAACUCUCUGCCCUGCUGCAUACACAGACUUUUUAAGUCACAACAAAAUGAAUUUUAUAAAUAUUAAUUCAGAAUGACAUUGUUUUGUUUAAUUCUUCCAAUGGCUGGAACUGAUUUUUAUACCAGUGGUGUCCAAAAACAACAAGGUUUUUCAAAAUUGAGCUUUUUGUACAAAUAUGCUUAUUAUCCAAAGCCAGAUUGCAGCUCCAUCCCUCUUCCCCUUGUCCCCAGCCCUCACCAAAGAGGCCAGAUUAAGGAAAAUGCUAAUUCAGACCCCACAUGUGAUGACAAAAGCAGGGUUCACAUGCCAGCAAAGAGCCAAUGCUUCUAGAAAUGUGCAGGAAAUAAAUGAGUUUUUGCCAGGUAAAUCUAAACAGUCCUUGAGGAAAGAAAGGAAUAAUUUAACAUCUCUCCACUGUAGAGAAGCCUUUCAUGGGGUAGCAACUGGGAACAUACAGAACAUGCACUGCCCGUGGGCUGAACGCUGCAUGCACCAAUUGCCAAUUAAUCCAUGGAUACUGCUCCACCCCAAACCAUCCUGUAGAAAUUAGCUGCUACACUGAUGUGCUCCCCUGUCUUCUCUCCCAGAGCAUCCCAUCAGUAACAUAGCAGAAAACAGGACACCAGGCCAGGCCUCAGUAUGACCUUGCACAAGCUCAUCCUAUGUUCCUACACAGAUGCCAAGUCCUCUUAUUAGCCCUACAGAGUCGUGCUGUUACCCUAAAUUCAGUGCCAUCACUAUCAGCCCCUUGGCACUGUUACACACCAGUGUCUUCUCACAACACCACAGCCACCACACCAUGCAGGGCUACUGGUGCUUGCAACAAGAAACACUCCCACAGCCUGCCUGGAUUUGGUUCAGGAAAGUGCUUCUUAAACCAGCAUCCCAUUCGCUAUCGUCAGUCCAAAUCCAGCCCUGUGUCUGGGCUCAGCCUCCCAUGAGCUUUCCAAUUCCCAGGGUGGACAUCCCAGCUCCAGCAGUGUGGAGAGGACAGGAGAGGGAGGCAGCCAAGCUGGGUGGAGCUCACCGGGGGGAGCUGAGCUGGCCAAGCUCUUAGCACUUCUCACUUCAGCAGCUGUGCUAUUAAAAUGAACUUACGUUGUAGGCUUUGA